rnacentral:rRNA from 1 species
UCUACGUCGGCGACCGGCGCACGGGUGCGUAACGCGUAUGCAACCUACCCAUUACAGGGGGAUAACACUGAGAAAUCGGUACUAAUACCCCAUAACAUCCAGGGAGGCAUCUUCUUGGGUUGAAAACUCCGGUGGUAACGGAUGGGCAUGCGUUGUAUUAGUUAGUUGGUGGGGUAACGGCUCACCAAGACAACGAUACAUAGGGGGACUGAGAGGUUAACCCCCCCACAUUGGUACUGAGACACGGACCAAACUCCUACGGAAGGCAGCAG